AUGCACCUGACGAGUCCCAAAUUGGACGAAACACACGUCAAAGUGGAU
rnacentral:hammerhead_ribozyme from 1 species